GACGUAGGGCGCAAGCGUUGUCCGGAUUUAUUGGGCGUAAAGAGCUCGUAGGCGGCCUGUCGCGUCGACCGUGAAAACCCGCAGCUCAACUGCGGGCUUGCGGUCGAUACGGGCAGGCUGGAGUUCGGUAGGGGAGACUGAAAUUCCUGGUGUAGCGGUGAAAUGCGCAGAUAUCAGGAGGAACACCGGUGGCGAAGGCGGGUCUCUGGGCCGAUACUGACGCUGAGGAGCGAAAGCGUGGGGAGCGAACAGG
rnacentral:rRNA from 1 species